AGCUUUGUGCAGUGGCAGUAUCGUAGCCAAUGAGGUUUAUCUGAGGCGUAAUUAUUGCUAAUUAAAAUAUCCGUUGUUCAGUGGCUUUCAGGACAUUUAUUAUUAUCAGUCUGCAUAUAAUAUUGAUGUACCUGCUUUUUAAAGAAAUCAAGGAUU
rnacentral:snRNA from 1 species